UACAGAGGCCUCGAGCGUUAGGCGGAAUCACUGGGCUUAAAGCGUGUGUAGGCGGACUUCUAAGUACCUUGUGAAAUCCCACAGCUUAACUGUGGAACUGCUUGGUAUACUGGUUGUCUUGAGCUAUCUAGGGGCGAGCGGAACAAGUGGUGGAGCGGUGAAAUGCGUAGAUAUCACUUGGAACGCCAACGGUGAAAACAGCUCGCUGGGGAUAUGCUGACGCUGAGACACGAAAGCCAGGGGAGCAAACGGG
rnacentral:rRNA from 1 species